UUCUCUUGCCUCCUCUCAAGCAACAGUUGAAUUAUCUCCAUCUACCGGUAAUGUCUCAGUAUGCCAAGGAGAAGUACUAAUGAUAACUUGUAUUGUGAAUGGAUCUCAAGUAGUGGCCUGGCAAUAUAAUAAAGAAUUUCUAAUUUACUUUGAUGCUGUAAAAACUGGUGAAGAUAAUACCGCACUGUUUAAUUUUAAAUUACUGUGUCAUAAUAAUGUCACACUAAUCUCAACUGCAGUUGGUAAUGUGUCUACUUUAAUAAAUGGGAGCACCCUUGAGUGUAGGAAUACAAUACCAGACAUUAGUUCAAGUAUCAGACAACGUAUCAACUUUAAUGUUAAAAAUACAAUACCUAUCAGUUAUCUUCAUGUUAAUGCUGUAUCAUCAGAUACAUUAUUAAUAUCUU